AGUGAACGCUGGCGGUGGGCCUAACACAUGCAAGUCGAACGGCAGCACAGUAAGAGCUUGCUCUUACGGGUGGCGAGUGGCGGACGGGUGAGGAAUACAUCGGAAUCUACUUUUUCGUGGGGGAUAACGUAGGGAAACUUACGCUAAUACCGCAUACGACCUACGGGUUAAAGCAGGGGAUCUUCGGACCUUGCGCGAUUGAAUGAGCCGAUGUCGGAUUAGCUAGUUGGCGGGGUAAAGGCCCACCAAGGCGACGAUCCGUAGCUGGUCUGAGAGGAUGAUCAGCCACACUGGAACUGAGACACGGUCCAGACUCCUACGGGAGGCAGCAGUGGGGAAUAUUGGACAAUGGGCGCAAGCCUGAUCCAGCCAUACCGCGUGGGUGAAGAAGGCCUUCGGGUUGUAAAGCCCUUUUGUUGGGAAAGAAAAGCAGCGGGUUAAUACCCCGCUGUUCUGACGGUACCCAAAGAAUAAGCACCGGCUAACUUCGUG
rnacentral:rRNA from 1 species